UGAGAUUACAGAGGGGUCCAUGUCCCGUGC
rnacentral:piRNA from 1 species